AUACGGAGGAUGCGAGCGUUAUCCGGAUUUAUUGGGGUUAAAGGGUGCGUAGGCGGCCUUGUAAGUCAGCGGUGAAAUUUUGCAGCUUAACUGUAAAAGUGCCGUUGAUACUGUGAGGCUAGGAUUUGGUUGCUGUGGGUGGAAUGUGUGGUGUAGCGGUGAAAUGCUUAGAGAUCACACAGAAUAUCGAUUGCGAAGGCAGCUCACAAAGCCAAGAUUGACGCUGAGGCACGAAAGUGUGGGGAUCAAACAGGAUUAGAUACCCUGGUAGUCCACACUGUAAACGAUGAUAACUCGCUGUCGGCGAUAUACAGUCGGUGGCCAAGCGAAAGCGAUAAGUUAUCCACCUGGGGAGUACGACCGCAAGGUUGAAACUCAAAGGAAUUGACGGGG
rnacentral:rRNA from 1 species